UGGGGAAUAUUGGACAAUGGGCGAAAGCCUGAUCCAGCCAUGCCGCGUGAGUGAAGAAGGCCUUCGGGUUGUAAAGCUCUUUUAGUCGGAAAGAAAGAGUCGCAAUGAAUAAUUGUGAUUUAUGACGGUACCGACAGAAAAAGCCCCGGCUAACUACGUGCCAGCAGCCGCGGUAAUACGUAGGGUGCGAGCGUUAAUCGGAAUUACUGGGCGUAAAGGGUGCGCAGGCGGUUUUGUAAGUCAGAUGUGAAAGCCCCGGGCUUAACCUGGGAAUUGCGUUUGAAACUACAAGGCUAGAGUGCAGCAGAGGGGAGUGGAAUUCCAUGUGUAGCAGUGAAAUGCGUAGAGAUGUGGAAGAACACCGAUGGCGAAGGCAGCUCCCUGGGUUGACACUGACGCUCAUGCACGAAAGCGUGGGGAGCAAACA
rnacentral:rRNA from 1 species